CCUACGGGAGGCAGCAGUGAGGAAUAUUGGUCAAUGGGCGAGAGCCUGAACCAGCCAAGUCGCGUGAAGGAUGAAGGAUCUAUGGUUGGUAAACUUCUUUUAUAUGGGAAUAAAGUGAGGUACGUGUUCCUUUUUGUAUGUACCAUAUGAAUAAGCAUCGGCUAACUCCGUGCCAGCAGCCGCGGUAAUACGGAGGUAGCGAGCGUUAUGCGGAUUUAGUGGGUUUAAAGGGUGCGUAGGUGGUUAAUUAAGUCAGCGGUGAAAGUUUGUGGCUCAACCAUAAAAUUGCCGUUGAAACUGGGGGACUUGAGUACAUGUGAGGUAGGCGGAAUGCGUGGUGUAGCGGUGAAAUGCAUAGAUAUCACGCAGAACUCCGAUUGCGAAGGCAGCUUACUAAACUAUAACUGACACUGAAGCACGAAAGCGUGGGGAGCAAACAGGAUUAGAUACCCUUGUAGUC
rnacentral:rRNA from 1 species